GGUUCUGUAGUGUAGUGAUUAACAUGCCUCUCUGUCACAGAGGAGAUCGCGGGUUUGACUCCCGUCAGGACCGCCA
rnacentral:tRNA from 1 species